ensembl:lncRNA
UUUAUUGUCUUGACCAAGGUCAUUUUAUGUAGACAGGUUUGCAACCCAAAUUUUUUAGGCAAUUAAGCAUAAAAAUAAAACUGUGUAGUACAGCUUAAUGUUCAGCAGCAGCUGUCACAGCUGAACAGUACUCUGUUGGACUGGUCUGAGUCCUUCCAAUGCAGCCUUUCAUAUAGUUAGCAAAAUGUGUUAAUAUUCUGACAAUAAAUGUUGUUACUUUCAUUUUCAAAAUGAUCAGAGGUGGACUGUAAGAAAAUACAUUCGUCAAGUAUACUUGUAUAAAUAUGAAGUACUAAGUUUUCUCUCUUUUUUUCUCCACAGGACAGCAACACCACAAAAAUAUGGUAUUUUACAACAUGAUGCAUUGUUGUAGAUUAAACUACCCAACAGUAUAUUUAGUAGGCAACUUUAAAUGUAAUAACCUUACACAUAUUCAGAAUUAAAAUGCAACAUUCACAGUAGUGCAGCAGUAAUAUUAAUGCAAAGCCAUCCUGACAAAUUAUUUUUUCACUUUUACUUUUACUCUCAAUACCUUACGUAUAUUAGAGCAUGCAAGAUAACACUUUUACUUAAAGGAUAGUUCAGCCAAAAAUGAAAGUUCAUUAAUCAUUUAUUCACCUUUAAGUUGCUCCUGGUUUGGAAUUUUCAUUUUUGGGUGAACUAUCCCUUUAGCUAUGGUUUUAAAUAUGACUAGUAGUUUUUCCCCAAUGGUCAGCACUGUGAAUUUCAUCUUGCAGCCGACAAGAAAACAAAACACUCUGGAGACCACUCUGUAUGAUGUACCACUUAGCAGACAGAAGAGAAACACCAGGGUCUGGAUUGUGGCACUUCUCAGAAGAUCCAGCAGCACAGUCAGGGCCUCCCUGCUCAGAACAAAUCCGGUCCAGCUAGCCACAUUCAGCUUUAUCCUGCAGUACAGGGGUUUGGUAUGA